rnacentral:rRNA from 1 species
GACGAACGCUGGCGGCGUGCCUAAUACAUGCAAGUAGAACGCACAGUUUAUACCGUAGCUUGCUACACCAUAGACUGUGAGUUGCGAACGGGUGAGUAACGCGUAGGUAACCUGCCUGGUAGCGGGGGAUAACUAUUGGAAACGAUAGCUAAUACCGCAUAAUAUUGAUUAUUGCAUGAUAAUUGAUUGAAAGAUGCUAUUGCAUCACUACCAGAUGGACCUGCGUUGUAUUAGCUAGUAGGUGAGGUAACGGCUCACCUAGGCGACGAUACAUAGCCGACCUGAGAGGGUGAACGGCCACACUGGGAAUGAGACACGGCCCAGACUCCUACGGGAGGCAGCAGUAGGGAAUCUUCGGCAAUGGACGAAAGUCUGACCGAGCAACGCCGCGUGAGUGAAGAAGGUUUUCGGAUCGUAAAGCUCUGUUGUAAGAGAAGAACGGGUGUGAGAGUGGAAAGUUCACACUGUGACGGUAUCUUACCAGAAAGGGACGGCUAACUACGUG